rnacentral:rRNA from 1 species
GACGAACCACACGAACGUUAUUCGGAAUUACUGGGCUUAAAGGGCGCGUAGGCGGCCUUCUAAGUCGAACGUGAAAUCCCUGGGCUCAACCCAGGAACUGCGUCCGAUACUGGAAGGCUUGAAUCCGGGAGAGGGAUGCGGAAUUCCAGGUGUAGCGGUGAAAUGCGUAGAUAUCUGGAGGAACACCGGUGGCGAAGGCGGCAUCCUGGACCGGCAUUGACGCUGAGGCGCGAAAGCCAGGGGAGCAAACGGG